AACAGUUACUUCUUUUAGGCUAUUUUCUGUUUUUGUUUGGUUUUGUUUUGUUUUCUUUUCCCUCAAACUGCUAAUAACUAUAUACAUACCACUACUUCUCGCUUCUCUUUUUUUACUUUGGCUCUAGAUGGAAUGAUAGGGUAUGCAUAAAUGUUCAUGUGGGCUCUGGAGUAUACCAGGAACUGAAGUAAGGUACAUGGACGUCUUGAAUAUUGUAACUGAGAUGGGCAAGCCUACACCUUUGCAAAUAAAGGAGGAUUGGGAAAGAUUAAGCCUCUCAAGCACUGUGAAAAAUCACUUUCUCUUGUUGUAUUCUUGGAGCCCCUGCUAAUUCAUUAUUGAAAAAUACCUGCUGCCUGCAUUUGGCCUUAUGUUGUCAUUUACUUGGUACUUCCUAAGCGUGGCUACUCCAAUGAAGCUUUAGUAUAUGUACUGAAAGAAGAUCCUCUCAUACUGCCACAGCCAAGAGAUAAGGUUGUAAAUCUUUAUUGGGAGAAGCCGUCAAGGACAGUUCUGUGAAAUGAAAGGAUCUCUGGAUCACCACAAAGUCUGGCUCAGUGACUAUGGCUUUGCAAACACUAAACAUUCCUGUCUCAAGUCCUGUAGAUGGCUUGAAAUAGUAUACAUAAGCAUGCCUUAUAAACAUCUUCAGUCUUUAUCAACUCUUUGGAGAUUCAGCCAUUCUUUUUUGUACUUUAGGGAAUUAAAUCAUUUUAUAAUGUAUAAAUCUGAGCAUGGCCGAUGGCA
rnacentral:lncRNA from 10 species